AAAAAAUUAGUUUAACCAAAACAUUAGUCUUCAAAACUAAAAAUAUUGAAUCACAGUAUUCUUCA
rnacentral:tRNA from 1 species